CCCCUCUCAGGAUCGCACCUGAAGAGUUUCCAGUACUGUACCAGUCUCGACUACAGGAGGGAGAAUCAAGCAGAGGCCUACCCAUUCCAUUCCUAGCUUGAGCAGUGGCUAGCGGGUGGAAGGCAAUCUGCUACAAGU
rnacentral:snoRNA from 1 species